rnacentral:rRNA from 1 species
ACGCUCGACACCUACGGGAGGCAGCAGUAGGGAAUCUUCCACAAUGGGUGCAAGCCUGAUGGAGCAACACCGCGUGAGUGAAGAAGGGUUUCGGCUCGUAAAGCUCUGUUGUUGGAGAAGAACGUGCGUGAGAGUAACUGUUCACGCAGUGACGGUAUCCAACCAGAAAGUCACGGCUAACUACGUACCAGCAGCCGCGGUAAUCUGAGCGGGCUGGCAAGGC